rnacentral:tmRNA from 1 species
GGGGACGUACUGGUUUCGACGGGGGAUUGCGGUUGCCUUGUAAGCGUACCGAGUUUCGCAUGAUCUCGUAAAAUCGUGCACCUAAACUUAAACGCUAAAAACGAAAAAUUAGCUUUCGCAGCGUAAGCUGUGAACUUCCUGCCUGCUGCGCCUGAGAUGCGGGGUCAGGGAGCCAAACCAUCAGGCUACCGACUGGUGACUGAGAAAUAGCCAUCCGGGAAAUUUAUUUCUCUCGCAGCGUUCCAGUUUGAUCGUGGACGGGCGCGCUGUUAAAUCAAAACACGCUCUACGUACGUAGAAAGCUUGGGAGCUGGUCUUUCGGACAGGGGUUCGACUCCCCUCGUCUCCAU